CAAAACACUCCCAAACCCUCUCUAGAGUUCUCAUAUGAUCCAAGGCCAAACUCAAAGGCUACCAAGUGAAUCUAACCCCAAGAAUCUUUUGGUGCUAGCUAAGAGUAGCUCUAGUGCACCGUGGUGACGUUGAAGGUUGUUCUAAGUGAGAGUAAAUUCAUGUUUCGAUCUGAUCUUGGUGAUUGAGGUAAGAUAUUUCUUCCUCCAUAUUUUAUUGUUCUUGUAAAAUCCAUGGCUAAGUUAUAAGUUCGAAAACCCAUGAGGUAAAGCCCGUAAAUUGUAGUUAUGUUUGGUUAUCGAGUAUGUGACUAUUUUGAAGAUGCUUUAAGGUAUGUUGUGGCUGGAAAAUUGGUGCAGUAACUUAUGUAGGUUGUUGUUGCUGAUAUGGGAAUAUUUUUGAAGAAAGAAAAUAGCUUAAAAUUAUAAUUUGUUAAUCGUAAAAUCGAGCUGGCCGCUCGCUAUGAUUGUUGAAUUGUUUAAAGAGCUUGAUGAGAAUGUUAUUGUUGUUGAGCCGUUCGUUUGAAACCAUAUUAUGAUAUUGAAUUGAUGUAUAUUGGUAGUUAAUGAAUAAGUAAAAUUAGAAGAUAAAUUAGAGUUGAAAGGUUAUCUUGUUAUUAAGUUACCAUUGUUAAAGACUAUGGAAGUUCUACGCACGCAAAGUAUUCGAUGAUAUAUCUAAAUGAAAUGACUAAUAGUUUAUUGAGUUGCUAUUGAUCCAAAUCAUUUGUAUAAUGUAGAUUGUCGUUCAUUAAGCAUUCGAUGACUUAUGAGCUAUCGACACAAAGUAUGUAAGGCUACUUUCUUUCUUGGCAUGACUUGAUUAAAAUAUUCCAUUUGAAAUAAUCUUUAUAUGUACGGUCUUGCAUUGCGGUCGGUCUUGCAUUGAACUUAUAUAUGUACCUACUUUACUUUAUCGAGCCACGCUAUAGUCGGCCGGGUACGACACCUAUUGUGAAACUACUGGUUAGUUGGGUAUUACCGAGCCCUUUGUGGUUGGGUACGACCGAGUCCUAUUAAGGUGGGGUACGAUCGAGUCCUUUUCGAGGCCAGAAACAUUAUGAUAUGAUUUGAUUUUCCCCAUAGAGCGACUUGAUACUAUAUUAUAUGGCCUCAUUUAGUGGCAUGAGUUUUACAAACAUGCAUAUAUAUCCAUGAUUAUUAUAGUGUAUGCCCUCAGAGCCUUGUUGUGAGUUUCAGAUUGACUUCUGUACUCUUUCUUUACAUUCCAUAUUUUAUUUAUAUGCAUACCUGCCUUACAUAUUCAGUACAUCUUUUGUACUAAAGACCCCUUGUUAGGGCGUUGUUUCAUGCAUGCAGAUACAGAUAGCGACUCAGAUGAUACUUCACAAUAGAUGACUCAACUCAGUUAAUAGUGCAUCGUGGUGACGUUGAAGGUUAUUCUAAGUGAGAGUAAGCUCAUGUUUCGAUUUGAACUUGGUGAUUGUAGUAAGAUAUUGCAUCCUCCAUAUUUUCUUGUGCUUGUAAAAGCCAUGUCUAAGUUAUAAGAUUGAAAACCCGUGAGGUAAAGCCCGAAAAUCGUAGUUAUGUUUGGUUAUCGAGUAUGGAACUAUUUCGAAGAUGUUUUAAGGUAUGUUGUGGCUGAGAAACUGGUGCAGUAGCUUGUGUAGGUUAUUUUUUGCUGCUAUGGACAUAUUUUUGAAGAAAGAAAAUGGAUUAAAAUUAUAGUUUGUUAAUUGUAAAACCGAGCUGGCCGCUCGUUGUGAUUGUUGAAUUGUUUAAAGAGCUUGUUCAGAAUGUUAUUGUUGUUGAGCUGCUCUUUUGAAGCCAUAUUAUGAUAUUGAAUUGCUAGAUAUUGGGAGUUAAUGAAUAAGGAAAAUAAGGAGAUAAAGUAGAGUUGAAAGGUUAUCUUGUUGUUGAGUUACCAUUGUUAAAGUCUAUGGAAAUUCUGGGCAUGAAAAAUGUUUGAUGAAAUGUCUAAAUGAAAUGAAAUAAUAGUUUAUUGAGUUGCUAUUGAUCCAAAUCAUUUGCAUGAUGCAGAUUGUCGUUCAUUAAGUGUUCGAGGACUUAUGAGCUAUCGACACAAGGUGUGUAAGGCUACUUUAUUUCUCUGCAUGACUUGAUAUAAAUAUUCUCUUUGAAAUAAUCUUCAUAUCGCAAGAUUGAAUAGUCUUAAGUCUUCCCUGACAAAGGAUUGAUCGUGUUCUUGUGUAUUUCCUUCCGAUGGCUUUCUUCCGAAUUCNNNNNNNNNNNNNNNNNNNNNNNNNUGUCUAGUAAGCUGGUAGGUAUGAUGGUUGCAUAUAUAUACAUAGUUGGGUAUGGCGGGGCUUUGUCCUUACCUUAUGAUAUUUAUGUAUUCCUUAAAGGCUUGUAAAUAUAUGUUAUAUGUAUUGAUGGUCAUGGCGGUCUUGUAGGCCCGUAUGUAUCAUGUAUAUAAGCUUGUAUAUUAUUU
rnacentral:lncRNA from 1 species